GAUGAACGCUAGCGACAGGCCUAACACAUGCAAGUCGAGGGGCAGCGCGGAGCAAGCUUGCUUGUUCUGGCGGCGACCGGCGCACGGGUGCGUAACAGGUGUGCAAUCUGUCCAUAAUCGGGGAAUAGCCCAGCGAAAGUUGGAUUAAUGCUCCAUGUGAGUUUUAGAGGCAUCUCUUUAAUUUGAAACGUAAGGAUUAUGGGUGAGCACGCUUCUGAUUAGGUAGUUGGUGAGGUAACGGCUCACCAAGCCGACGAUCAGUAGGGGUUCUGGGAGGAAGGUCCCCCACAUUGGAACUGAGACACGGACCAAACUCCUACGGGAGGCAGCAGUGGGGAAUAUUGGUCAAUGGGCGAAAGCCUGAACCAGCCAAGUCGCGUGAAGGAUGAAGGUUCUAUGGAUUGUAAACUUCUUUUGUCUGAGGGUAAAAAAGCGGACGUGUCCGUUCUUGCAAGUAUCAGACGAAUAAGCAUCGGCUAACUCCGUGCCAGCCGCCGCGGUAAUAC
rnacentral:rRNA from 1 species